rnacentral:lncRNA from 1 species
UUGGUAGUAAAAUACGUGUAAUUCUUUGUGUGGUAAUCCAAUGGCUCCCAAAAUUUUACAAUUGCUUAUUAACGACUUUGGUAAGGUGCUAUAAUUUUCUUAGUGCCUUUUGCUGCUGUUUACUUGAGGAACCACUUUUUGGCUAAGAAAUUGGGUUAAAGGAAUAAAAGAAAUAUGAGUCCUAAUGCACUCGAACCACCCCAAACAGGACCUCCCACCUUCCUUAUGCAACUCUAAGUUGUAAGAAUCAAUAUAUGUACACAAUCAC